UGCAAGUCGAACGGCAGCACGGGAGGAGUAAUCUUUCUGGUGGCGAGUGSCGAACGGGUGAGUAAUAUAUCGGAACGUACCCAAGAGUGGGGGACAACGCAGCGAAAGUUGCGCUAAUACCGCAUACGAUCUACGGAAGAAAGUGGGGGACCUGAAAGGGCCUCAUGCUCGUGGAGCGGCCGAUAUCUGAUUAGCUAGUUGGUGAGGUAAAGGCUCACCAAGGCUUUGAUCAGUAGCUGGUCUGAGAGGACGACCAGCCACACUGGAACUGAGACACGGUCCGGACUCCUACGGGAGGCAGCAGUGGGGAAUUUUGGACAAUGGGCGCAAGCCUGAUCCAGCAAUGCCGCGUGAGUGAAGAAGGCCUUCGGGUUGUAAAGCUCUUUUGUCAGGGAAGAAACGGUAAUUUUUAAUACAGAUUGCUAAUGACGGUACCUGAAGAAUAAGCACCGGCUAACUACGUGCCAGCAGCCGCGGUAAUACGUAGGGUGCAAGCGUUAAUCGGAAUUACUGGGCGUAAAGCGUGCGCAGGCGGUUUUGUAAGUCAGAUGUGAAAUCCCCGGGCUCAACCUGGGAAUGGCAUUUGAGACUGCAAGGCUAGAGUGUGUCAGARGGGGGUAGAAUUCCACGUGUAGCAGUGAAAUGCGUAGAGAUGUGGARGAAUACCGAUGGCGAAAGCAGCCCCCUGGGAUAACACUGACGCUCAUGCACGAAAGCGUGGGGAGCAAACAGGAUUAGAUACCCUGGUAGUCCACGCCCUAAACGAUGUCGACUAG
rnacentral:rRNA from 1 species